rnacentral:lncRNA from 1 species
CUGGGCCGGUUCACCCCUCCUUAGGCAACCUGGUGGUCCCCCGCUCCCGGGAGGUCACCAUAUUGAUGCCGAACUCAGUGCGGACACCCGAUCGGCAACCUGGUGGUCCCCCGCUCCCGGGAGGUCACCAUAUUGAUGCCGAACUUAGUGCGGACACCCGAUCGGCAUAGCGCACUACAGCCCAGAACUCCUGGGCUCAAGCGAUCCUCCCACCUCAGCCUCCCGAGUAGCUGGGACUACAGGCACGCGCCACCGCGCCCGGCGGUC